rnacentral:rRNA from 1 species
UAAUAGUCUGGGAAACGUGCCUGAUGAGGGGGAGUAAUAACUGGAAACGGUAGCUAAUACCGCAUAAUGUCGCAAGACCAAAGUGGGGGACCUUCGGGCCUCAUGCCAUCAGAUGUGCCCAGAUGGGAUUAGCUAGUAGGUGGGGUAACGGCUCACCUAGGCGACGAUCCCUAGCUGGUCUGAGAGGAUGACCAGCCACACUGGAACUGAGACACGGUCCAG